UGCCGUCGCAAUCGUCGCCUUCCAGCCACUUUGUAGACGUUGUCGUCGCUGUCUCCCUCCCGUCGACUCCUGCCUCUCAGAAGCCUUGCAAUCGCCGACGUCGCCUCUCAGACUGCAAUUCGAAAGGUUAUUAUUCUCUUUUGGGCAAGUUUUGUGGAUUGGUGAUUCCUAGUUCGCUGACUUCCAUUGAUCAUUGGUCGCCGGAGGUUAAGG